GACGAACGCUGGCGGCGUGCUUAACACAUGCAAGUCGAACGAAAAUACCAAGCUUGCUUGGUUGAUUAGUGGCGAACGGGUGAGUAACACGUGAGUAACCUGCCCCUUACUUUCCUGGAUAACUGCUCGAAAGGGUAGCUAAUACGGGAUAUUCUGACCAGCCUGCAUGGGUUGGUUUGGAAAGGUUGUUUUUCUGGUAAGGGAUGGGCUCGCGGCCUAUCAGCUUGUUGGUGGGGUGAUGGCCUACCAAGGCUUUGACGGGUAGCCGGCCUGAGAGGGUGGACGGUCACACUGGGACUGAGAUACGGCCCAGACGCCUACGGGAGGCAGCAGUGGGGAAUAUUGCACAAUGGGCGCAAGCCUGAUGCAGCGACGCCGCGUGAGGGAUGAAGGCCUUCGGGUUGUAAACCUCUUUCGUCAGGGAACAAGGCACUGCUUUUGUGGUGGUGUUGAGGGUACCUGGAGAAGAAGCGCCGGCUAACUACGUG
rnacentral:rRNA from 1 species